UACGGGGGGGGCAAGCGUUUGUUCGGAAUUACUGGGCGUAAAGGGCUCGUAGGUGGCCAACUAAGUCAGACGUGAAAUCCCCAGGCUCAACUUGGGAACUGCGUCUGAUACUGGAUGGCUUGAAUUCGGGAGAGGGAUGCAGAAUUCCAGGUGUAGCGGUGAAAUGCGUAGAUAUCUGGAGGAAUACCGGUGGCGAAGGCGGCAUCCUGGACCGAUAUUGACACUGAUGAGCGAAAGCUAGGGGAGCAAACGGG
rnacentral:rRNA from 1 species